rnacentral:rRNA from 1 species
UUUAAAUGUAAAUUAUUAUAUUAAAGUAGUAAUAGUUAAGUUCUUUAAAUUUAAAGAUUUUGGCGGUAUUUUAGUCUAUUCAGAGGAACCUGUUCUGUAAUUGAUAAUCCACGAUUAAUUUAANUUARUUUAAUAAUUUGUAUAUCGUCGUUUAUAAAUGAUUUUAAAAGAAUUUAAAUUUUUAAGAUUUUUUAUUAAAAAAUAUAUCAGAUCAAGGUGCAGUUUAUAAUUAAGAAGAAAUGGGUUACAAUAAAUUUAUUUAUAUGGAUUAAUAUAUGAAAUUAUAUUAUGAAGGAGGAUUU